rnacentral:rRNA from 1 species
UACAGAGGGGGCAAGCGUUGUUCGGAAUUACUGGGCGUAAAGGGCGCGUAGGCGGCCCUCUAAGUCGAACGUGAAAUCCCCGGGCUCAACCCGGGAACUGCGUCCGAUACUGGAAGGCUUGAAUCCGGGAGAGGGAUGUGGAAUUCCAGGUGUAGCGGUGAAAUGCGUAGAUAUCUGGAGGAACACCGGUGGCGAAGGCGACAUCCUGGACCGGUAUUGACGCUGAGGCGCGAAAGCGUGGGGAGCAAACAGG